rnacentral:rRNA from 1 species
CUACGGGGUGCACCAGUGGGGAAUAUUGGACAAUGGGGGAAACCCUGAUCCAGCAAUGCCGCGUGUGUGAAGAAGGCCUGCGGGUUGUAAAGCACUUUCGGUUGGGAGGACUGCUUCUAGCACUAAUAUUGUUGGAAGUUGACGUUACCUUCAGAAGAAGCACCGGCUAACUCCGUGCCAGCAGCGCGCGGUAAUACGGAGGGUGCAAGCGUUAAUCGGAAUUACUGGGCGGAAAGCGCGCGUAGGCGGCUAGAUCAGUCGGGUGUGAAAGCCCCGGGCUUAACCUGGGAACUGCAUCCGAUACUGUCUAGCUUGAGUACAGGAGAGGAGAGUGGAAUUCCACAUGUAGCGGUGAAAUGCGUAGAUAUGUGGAGGAACACCAAUGGCGAAGGCAGCUCUCUGGCCUGAUACUGACGCUGAGGUGCGAAAGCGUGGGGAGCAAACAGGAUUAGAUACCCGUGUAGUC